rfam:Aedes aegypti strain Liverpool supercont1.466 genomic scaffold, whole genome shotgun sequence.
CAAUCGGCCCUUUUCAGGGCCAACUAAAGAGUUAAUUGCGAAUAUU